rnacentral:rRNA from 1 species
GAUGAACGCUAGCUACAGGCUUAACACAUGCAAGUCGAGGGGCAGCAUUUUAGUUUGCUUGCAAACUGAAGAUGGCGACCGGCGCACGGGUGAGUAACACGUAUCCAACCUGCCGAUAACUCCGGAAUAGCCUUUCGAAAGAAAGAUUAAUACCGGAUGGCAUACGAAUAUCGCAUGAUAUUUUUAUUAAAGAAUUUCGGUUAUCGAUGGGGAUGCGUUCCAUUAGUUUGUUGGCGGGGUAACGGCCCACCAAGACUACGAUGGAUAGGGGUUCUGAGAGGAAGGUCCCCCACAUUGGAACUGAGACACGGUCCAAACUCCUACGGGAGGCAGCAGUGAGGAAUAUUGGUCAAUGGGCGAGAGCCUGAACCAGCCAAGUAGCGUGAAGGAUGAAGGCUCUAUGGGUCGUAAACUUCUUUUAUAUGGGAAUAAAGUUUUCCACGUGUGGAAUUUUGUAUGUACCAUAUGAAUAAGGAUCGGCUAACUCCGUG